CAGAGGGUAGUUUAUAUUAAAAUAUUAAUUUUGGGGAUUAAUGAAAGGGUUUCCUUUCCUCUGA
rnacentral:tRNA from 2 species